AUCCAUGAUCGCUCAAGCUCGUUGGCUCAUGGAGUUCGUCGCCUUGACCGUGACAGUGCCCGAAUACGUGCCCGACGAGCUAGCACUAGCGGGGCCUUCUUCGCCAGGUCAGGGCCGGAGCAGAAUGCCGCUGCCGACGAUGCCGUUGUUGAGGCUGCCGGCUGCUUCUCCGGCUUCGACCCGGCGUCAGACGAGGCCAUAGCUGCCCUGCGCGUGCCGGCGGCGGGCGGGAUGAGGGAGGACGGCUGCGCGGUGUGCCUCGAGGACUUGGAGGGUGGCGACGACGACAAGCUCAGGGCCAUGCCCUGCUCUCACUGCUUCCACCAGCGGUGCAUCUUCCGGUGGCUAUCGGUCAGCCGGGUCUGUCCCUGCUGCCGCUUCCCGCUGCCGUCCGCCGACGAGCAGCGCCUCCUGGCCCUGGACGAGCAGGCGACGGGC
rnacentral:rRNA from 1 species